UACGGAGGAUGCAAGCGUUAUCCGGAUUUAUUGGGUUUAAAGGGUGCGUAGGCGGAUGAAUAAGUCAGUGGUGAAAUCUCGCAGCUUAACUGCGAAAUUGCCAUUGAUACUGUAGGGCUUGAGUACAGUUGCCGUUGGCGGAAUAUGACAUGUAGUGGUGAAAUACAUAGAGAUGUCAUAGAACACCGAUUGCGAAGGCAGCUAACGAAACUGUAACUGACACUGAGGCUCGAAAGUGCGGGGAUCAAACAGG
rnacentral:rRNA from 1 species